rnacentral:rRNA from 1 species
CAGAGGGUGCGAGCGUUAAUCGGAUUUACUGGGCGUAAAGGGCGCGUAGGCGGUUCAAUGAGUGUGAUGUGAAAGCCCUGGGCUCAACCUAGGAAGUGCAUCGCAAACGAUUGAACUGGAGUAUAUGAGAGGGUGGUGGAAUUUCCGGUGUAGCAGUGAAAUGCGUAGAGAUCGGAAAGAACGUCGAUGGCGAAGGCAGCCACCUGGCAUAAUACUGACGCUGAGGCGCGAAAGCGUGGGGAUCAAACAGGAUUAGAUACCCUGGUAGUCCACGCUGUAAACGAUGAUAACUAGAUGUUGGUAGGGGAACCUAUCGGUAUCGUAGCUAACGCGAUAAGUUAUCCGCCUGGGAAGUACGGCCGCAAGGUUG